rnacentral:lncRNA from 1 species
UUUGUUUCCACAACAAAAGGAAGGCAACUUGUGCUAGCGAUUGUGAUUCCAGCCUGAUCCUGCUAAGACUAAGGUGAAAUCUUUAAAAAGUGCCGUCAACUCUGCCUCCAGCUGCCUUUCCAAAAACAAGUUCCAGACCAAAAUGGCUACAGAUCCUUUUCCAAAGGAAGAGGGCAAAAAAGGAAGAAAAAAUGGAAGAGAUUGAGGAAGGAGAAAAGUAGAAAAAUCAAGAACAAAAGAAUGAAAGAGAAAAAAGGACAAAGAUGUUAAAGAUUGGAGAAAAAUAAAAGGAGAGACAGAAAAACA